UACGGGGGGAGCAAGCGUUGUUCGGAUUCACUGGGCGUAAAGGGUGCGUAGGCGGUCGGGUAAGUCUGAUGUGAAAUCUCACAGCUUAACUGUGAAACUGCAUUGGAUACUAUCCGGCUCGAGGAAUGGAGGGGAGACUGGAAUUCUUGGUGUAGCAGUGAAAUGCGUAGAUAUCAAGUGGAACACCAGUGGCGAAGGCGAGUCUCUGGACAUUUCCUGACGCUGAGGCACGAAAGCCAGGGGAGCAAACGGG
rnacentral:rRNA from 1 species